ACGAACGCUGGCGGCGUGCUUAACCCCUGCCAGUCGUACGGUAAGGCCCUUUCGGGGGUACACGAGUGGCGACCGGGUGAGUAACACGUGAGUAACCUGCCCACAACUUUGGGAUAACGCUAGGAAACUGGUGCUAAUACUGGAUAUGUGCUCCUGCUGCAUGGUGGGGGUUGGAAAGCUCCGGCGGUUGUGGAUGGACUCGCGGCCUAUCAGCUUGUUGGUGGGGUAGUGGCCUACCAAGGCGGCGACGGGUAGCCGGCCUGAGAGGGUGACCGGCCACAUUGGGACUGAGAUACGGCCCAGACUCCUACGGGAGGCAGCAGUGGGGAAUAUUGCACAAUGGGCGCAAGCCUGAUGCAGCAACGCCGCGUGCGGGAUGACGGCCUUCGGGUUGUAAACCGCUUUCAGCAGGGACGAAGCUUUUUGUGACGGUACCUGCAGAAGAAGCACCGGCUAACUACGUG
rnacentral:rRNA from 1 species